AUGCAUACUAAAGAGAAUUCUUCGUGUAAAGGCGAUUGAUUGAGGAAAUUUGUGAAUUGGUAUUUGUGGCAGCUUGCCAUGGCGUGUAUUUGGAACAUACAACACCAACAAAAGGACAAGCUCAAAUUUCUAAUGGAAUUUGAUACAGUCGAUGGUGAAAGUCUGUCAUGUUUGCUGCCUUUUUGGUGUACGGUGUUGUGUUGCGCAAGUCGCUCUCCUUGAAAUUGGAGUGCUAAGUGGGUGGUAAAGUCCAUCUAAUGAUCAACGCAAGUUUGAGACCGAUAGCUGACAAGUACCAUUAGGGAAAGGUGCAAAGCUCUUUGAAAAGAAAGUUAAACAGUGCCUGAAAUUGCUGAAUUGGAUGUGCAUGUGGCCUUAAUCAUGACUAACACCUUGGCCCUGCCUUGGCGUGCAAGGCGGGUGGGCCUUCGCUGAUUGCCCACUUGUCUGUGUGCCCUGUGUGUGGCUGUGGCGUGUCUGUGUGUGUGUUUCACCUGGUGUUGGUAAGUAUGCCUUGCAACCUAGAAUUGUGCUUGUUUGUACAUGUGUGUGCUUGUGGGAUAUCAAUGCCUGGCUGACAGCUAUGUUGCAUUUACUUGGUGGCAGUGCGACGCUGUGCUGCACAUGUCUUGCAGCAUGUGCCAACACCAACUGUUUGGUUUUGUGCGACCCGUCUUGAAACACGGACUAAGGAGUCUAAUGCGUGUGUGUGAGAUGAAAGGUUAACUUUGAAUGUGUAAUGAAAGUGUGUGCUGGGAUGAUUGCACCAGCAGCCGAUCAAUCAACUGUGAAAGAUUUGUGUAUUAACAUGUGUAUUAGGACCCGAAAGAUGGUGAACUAUGCUUGAGGAGGGUGAAGCCAGGGGAAACCCUGGUGGAAGCUCGCAGCGACACUGACGUGCAAAUCGUUCGUCAUACUUGGGUAUAGGGGCGAAAGACUAAUCGAACCAUCUAGUAGCUGGUUCCCUUCGAAGUUUCCCUCAGGAUAGCUGGACAUGUGAAGUUUCAUUAGGUAAAGCGAAUGAUAAGAGGACGUGGGGGCAUGCAGCUUUUGGCCUAUUGUCAAACUUUAAAUUGGUCAGUGCCAUUGGUUGCUGAGCUGAACCAAUGGGCUUUAAUUGCAUUUCCAUGUGGGCCAUUUUUGGUAAGCAGAAUUGGCGAUGAGGGAUGAACUUAAUGCUGGGCUAAAGUGCUGAACUGCUCGCUCAUUGGAUACCAGAAAGGGUGUUGGUCCAUUGAGACAGCAGGACGGUGGUCAUG
rnacentral:rRNA from 1 species